GUAUAUGAUGAACAUGCACGGGGCUCUUAGCAAGCUGUUCACAGCCAGCUAUGUUUGAUGCAUAUUUGGAGCCUAGAAAGCCCUGCCUAAUAU